rnacentral:rRNA from 1 species
GGUGGGGGGGUGCUAUAAUGCAGUCGAACGAACUUCCGUUAAUUGAUUAUGACGUACUUGUACUGAUUGAGAUUUUAACACGAAGUGAGUGGCGAACGGGUGAGUAACACGUGGGUAACCUGCCCAGAAGUAGGGGAUAACACCUGGAAACAGAUGCUAAUACCGUAUAACAGAGAAAACCGCAUGGUUUUCUUUUAAAAGAUGGCUCUGCUAUCACUUCUGGAUGGACCCGCGGCGUAUUAGCUAGUUGGUGAGGUAAAGGCUCACCAAGGCAGUGAUACGUAGCCGACCUGAGAGGGUAAUCGGCCACAUUGGGACUGAGACACGGCCCAGACUCCUACGGGAGGCAGCAGUAGGGAAUCUUCCACAAUGGACGCAAGUCUGAUGGAGCAACGCCGCGUGAGUGAAGAAGGGUUUCGGCUCGUAAAGCUCUGUUGUUAAAGAAGAACGUGGGUAAGAGUAACUGUUUACCCAGUGACGGUAUUUAACCAGAAAGCCACGGCUAACUACGUGCCAGCAGCCGCGGUAAUACGUAGGUGGCAAGCGUUAUCCGGAUUUAUUGGGCGUAAAGCGAGCGCAGGCGGUCUUUUAAGUCUAAUGUGAAAGCCUUCGGCUCAACCGAAGAAGUGCAUUGGAAACUGGGAGACUUGAGUGCAGAAGAGGACAGUGGAACUCCAUGUGUAGCGGUGAAAUGCGUAGAUAUAUGGAAGAACACCAGUGGCGAAGGCGGCUGUCUGGUCUGCAACUGACGCUGAGGCUCGAAAGCAUGGGUAGCGAACAGGAUUAGAUACCCUGGUAGUCCAUGCCGUAAACGAUGAUUACUAAGUGUUGGAGGGUUUCCGCCCUUCAGUGCUGCAGCUAACGCAUUAAGUAAUCCGCCUGGGGAGUACGACCGCAAGGUUGAAACUCAAAAGAAUUGACGGGGGCCCGCACAAGCGGUGGAGCAUGUGGUUUAAUUCGAAGCUACGCGAAGAACCUUACCAGGUCUUGACAUCUUCUGA